rnacentral:lncRNA from 1 species
AUGUCUUGUGUUGUCCUGUCUGACAGCUGUUUCUGGAUGGGAAGUGUGGAUGUCAACAUGCCUGUGGGAGAGGGUUGGAUACUGGCUGCUCGAUUCACUCCACAGUGGAAUUUUAGCAAAAACAUCAUUCUGUGUCACUGCAACUGCUUGACAGAAAGAAGGCUGAGCUGUGGGAAUGGUCGAGGUCUGAUGUACACACAUCUUCUCCAGUGCCAGAUGCUGAUGGAUGCUGGAGGGGAAAGAGAAGCAUUGUGUCUGCUUCCCUCAUGGAUGAAGUCAUGGUUUGGUGGAACUGGAGACUUGGCAGCACUUAGGUAAAUAAAUCAAAAAGGUGGAAUAGAGGGGCUGGACAAGAAGGCAGCUCUUCUGCUUCCCCUGGAGACAACACCCAGUGUUUGGUCUUUUGGAUCCUCUUGGAUGCUGCUAAAUACUGGGAAGCCUUUGUGCAGCCCAAAGGGGAGGACCACUCAGAGGUGUCCCACAAGCCCCAUGGAUCUGUGUAAUGCAGACAUCUGUGGCAAAGAAAAUAAUUUCAUUGGUUUCAAGAGGCUGAAUCAAGACUGGAAAAUGUGAGUGUUAAGAUUACUUUUGUUCAUUGUUGCAUUGCAUCGAUUUUUUCCGUACCAGCACUGCUCUGUGAAGGGCCGUGUGACAGUCCCCAUGGGGCCACUUACACGGGCAGAUCUGUGCUGCACACUGUUGGGGAGUAACUCAUCUGUGGAAUCCACUGUCUGAAGGGCAGCUGGAUUUGCCAAUAUUUCUGGCUGUAUGCUCAUUUCUGAUAAAAAGGGGAAAAGAGAGCUUCAUCUACUGAGUGGCCAGUGCAAAUUUCAUGUGAUAUAUGUUAUUCGAGGGCUGAGGGGCAGUGGACCUUUUGGAAGCUAUUAAAUAACUGUACUUAACAAUGACUUAAAAGUAACUCUAUUUCCUUCCCACAGGUGAGAGUUGGACCUUUCCUUCCCCCAGGAGCACUUCUGGGGCUCAGGCAGUUGGAGGAGGUCAAUGCUACCUGCAGCUGCAAAGAGACGAUGAAAUGAAAUGGAAAUUAGGGUUUCCUCAAUAAGAGUGGGGACUCAGUUUUGCUUUCCUGCAGGAAAGGGGUGUGGGGGGGUGUCUGUUCUUGAGGGGUAGAAAAGGCCAUGGAAUCCACUCAAUAAUAGGAUCCAGGUGGAAGCCUUGUUUCCCAGUACAGCAGUAAGUCCAAGGGCCUUCUGUUGCCUGUCUUGACUCCUCUUGGCUUAUUCCAUGGAAACUCCACAGUGUCUUGCUCAUGUGACCUUGGGCUUUUAUAGGAAAAUACCAAUAUAUGCUGGAAUUUGUUAGAAUGAAGCAGCAGCCGAAGCAGGUCUCAAUUAAGACAGGUUCUUUCCACUGUUUAAACCAAACAACUAAUAAACCACAGCAAAGGUAAAACCUUCUAGCA